UAGAGUAGAGAGGCUGUUUCCAAAUAGACCCUCGGCAUCCUUCCCUCCAAGAACUUCCCACCUUGCUCUCGGGGAGACUCGAACUCACAACCUCUUAGUUGGAAGUGGAGGUUGCUUACCUCCAAUACCAAUACUUGAUCCUUUAAAAAAAUAUAAAGAAGUUUAGGAAUUUGCUUUACUAAAAAAGUUCUGAAAAAAUGAUUAGUGACUCGGAGGAGGCACUGGCACAUGAAUAGGUAAUUAUUAAUUGGCACGGUGUCAACAUCACUAAAAAUAAGAGUACUUUCCUUAGGAUGGUCAUCAAAAAAAGAAGGAAAAAUUUUGGCGGGCUAGAUCGUGUAAUGCUGCUUUCUAUCAGUAAAGCUUCUUAGGUUUCGACCUAGCCUAACUGAAGCUUUGAUACCAUGUUAAAAAAGGGAGAAGACCUCUUAUUGAAACGAUGAUUAACAAUGUACAGGACGGACUAGUUAUAUAAGAGUCACAGGCUAUGUUGUAUUUCAUAGGUUAUGAUUCUCUAUCGCUUAUAUACCGAAUGUUUUACAAUUUUUAAUAUAUAUUCUAUAAUAUUUUACUUACCUUUAUUGCUUUUCUAUACCUGUAAUACUAGUGCAUUCUCAUAUUUCCUAUUCUUAGAAUUCUAAUAAUUACCUGCUGCCUUUUUGCUUUGUUUAUCUUUUUGCGGACUGUGGUUACUAUUUUUCUUUACCUAGAUUCUCCUUUACUGUAUUUCUUUAUCUAAACUUCUGUGAUAUUCUUUUCUUGAGUUGAGGGUGUCGGAAAUAAUUUCUCUAUCCUUACAAGGUAAGGGUAAAGUUUGCGCACAAACUACCCUCCCCAGAGCCUAUUUGUGUGAAUAUACAGGGUAUGUUAUUAGAAACAUUUAGAAUCUAGGCACAGAUAACUUUAUCAGUUCUCUCAGCUUUCAACUUGUUUAAUGACUUGAUUUGAAUGUUUAUAGACCAAAGUCUGUAUGCUAAAUGUGUGGCAAGAGAUGUGAAGGGGCAAUCUAAGCAUUUCCAGAGACCUUGCCCUUAUGCUGAUAAGAUACUAACAUGUAAAUGUUCUUUUGAUUUAUGCCACAUUCUAGUAUCUAGUUUUCCAUUUUGUAAACAUGACAUGUUUCAUGCAGUUCUUGAAAAUUAUUUUACUGUUCUCACUCAGAUGGUAUUUUUCCGAAAAGUUGAGUAAUGUUGUAUUUAUUGAAAACCAAUUUUUUUUGGUGUCCGGUCCAACUUGUACGCACCUCGAUUAUUCGACCAUCUACUGGCUACCUCCCACUAGGUACCGGGUAACUCAAUAGGCAGAUGGGUUUUGUGAAACUGAUUUCUACGACUUCUCAAUCUGAGAAAGAGAGGACUUGGGAUAUUUAUUUGAAAACUAACACCAUACCAGUAUAUUUUGAGUGCAGUGUUCCCUUCUCAUUUUUUGUUUGCGUUAAAUGCUGGUUAUAAAUUCUGACUAUCUCUGUUAAAAUUAAAGGACCUAUUCAUCUGCACUGGCCAUUUACAGGAAAGCUUGAAGAUCUCCUUGAUUGCUUUCCUAUGAUUACCUAUUUCUCUUAAGUGGGCAAGUGUGUGUAGAGGAGUACUGGAUCUUUUCUGUUUCAUAUACCAUUUUUUCCUUCAGUGGAAGCUAUAUUUCUGCCAGUCAUUUUUGCUUGACUCAUAUUUGGAAGUUAUUAGUAACCUGAAAGGUUGUCUUGUACAUUUUAAAAAUAUUUUGGUAUUUUUUGAUAUGCUAUACAUACAGUUAACAAACAUGAUAAUUAUGUCUAUCCAACUGAAUUUAUUUUCACUUUGAAGUUCUAUGCUUUUCUCUUAACAGAAACAAAUUUCAGUGUUCUAAAUGUGCCUCUUUGAACAUCAUUUAUUGGUCAAUAACAUUAAAAGAUCGAAACAUGGGUUAGUGGCAUUUAUCUGGUCAGUAACAGGAACACUUACUGGUGAGCUGCAUGUUCCAGAAGCUGGAAAAGGUGCAAAUUGCUCUACAGUCGGAGCAGAAAGCUCGUGAAGCUCUCAAGGGGAAACAUGUAGCUGCUGUUUCAGAGCAAAGACAUUACAAUUCUAUCUUAAAAGCUUUCCAGGUAAGGUCUCUACUGAUAUGAUCUCAAGAGUAUAAAUCUAAAAGUUGUAUUUGUAAAGGAAUCUUAAAACUUGUUUCAUUUUUACUUAUUGUUUUCUUGAGAUGUUGCACUUGGACAACGCAUAACGUCUAACUGACUCGUUGAGGGACACAUUCAUCUGCACUUCUAGAAUACAUCCAGCUAAAGUUUGACUCAUUGGUAUUGAGGGACACAAUGUAUAAACAGAAUAGCAUGUGGAUGACUGCAGCUUUUUAUCUCUGUAGCAGUGGGCGGGCCUGCUGGGUAAGAAACGGGCAGGUUUCAUGCGGGUUUUAAAGAAAAGUAGUCUAUCUUCCCAGAAGUGGUGUUGUGGUGCAACAGUAAAGUUGUCUUCAUAUGAUCUAUCAGUCAGGGGUUCGAGCCGUAGGGGUUCGAGCCGUGAAAGCAACCAUUGAUGUUUGCAUUAGGGUAGGCUGUCUACAUCAUACCCCUUGGGUGCGGCCCUUCCUUGGACCCUGCGUGUAUGCGGGAUGCCUUGUUCAUCGAGCUGCCCCCUUUUUUUACUCUAUCUUCCCACUCAUAUUCUUCCACGCCAAGUGUGUGUUAUAGUUGCUCCUCUAAUUAUAAUAGCUUAAGAACACUUGUACCACAGCACACAGGUAUUAUACAAGAACUUAAUUCAUCAAGAACCUUGGGUUUCUUUUGGUGCUGGGGGUCGUUGGUACGGGUACAAAUUCUUGCUACUGCUGCCUUCUGGAAUAUAUUUGCCCACAGACACUUUUAGCAAAUUUUUCUGCUCAUCCUACUUCAUAGUUCAGCUUCUCUAGACUGUGAAGCACUGGCGAGUCUGCCUUAAUAGCUACUUAAAAACUUAAGAACGUUAGUGUCUGUGAAUACCGUAAAACACUCAUUUCUAAUUUUUAAUGCAUUCUCGUAACAUUAUGUUAUGGCUCAAACAGUACUUUGUUUUAGUUGUUGGUGGCUCUUCAAUGAGAAAAUGUGUGCUUAUGUUGAUGUGAUAACACCCAUAUGUCAUGUUGACUCCACUUGUUAAUGGCUCUCCAACGAGCAAAAGUGCACUGAUAUUGACUUGAUUACACCCUUACAUCAUCUCCUGUGCUUAGAAAUUUAUUCUUUUAGAUUUUUGGGGAAGAAGAUCUGAUUUGGUGAGUCUGUUUUUUCGAAUAGCAGGAGAGGCAAUGUUGUGAAACGUGGAAAUUGUUGAGAAGAACAUCUCUCUCUCUUCUUUUUCAUUUUCUUUUGAUUAGAGUUGUCCAGUUAUAGAGCCCAUUCUAGUUUAACAGUCGUAUCAAUGUGAAUGUUCAGUUCAGAUAUACUACUUUUGUCAGCAGCAAAUGAGUGGUUCCUAAUGAUAUACUUCUGUUAUUUCCAGGUGGAAUGUGCAAGGAAUGAGAGACUUCGCGUGCAGAAUUCACAAGAACAUUUACCAAGUUGAUAUUUUUGUCUGGUCGAAGAAGUGUUUCAUUCUACAAGAAAUCCAACGGAUGGAUACUGGGUUUGGGUACCUUCAAUUGUUUGUAUUAUUUAUCUUAUUAUACUAUAUUAGAAACUUAUUUACUCUUGCUAGAGAAACAUCUUAAUUACAAUUUGAUGUAUAAACUUCCCAAUUAUAUACAAUGUAAUGAUUGUAAAGUAUCCCUUGAUUAUAGGGCAUUGGUAACCGAAUCCCACGCCUUCAGCUAACAUACCUCUCACGAUGGAGAGCCCCUUGCCUCGCCUUUUUGCACCUAUCCUUCUUGCUUGCUUAUCUAUAGCUCUCUUGUCUUAGUGACUCUUCUCUUUUCUAGGUUUUUUUCUGAGUGCUAAAACGAUAGAUUUUUCUUUUGCCAAUGAAUUGGAUCCGCCCCGAUUCGAUCCUACCACGCUCUUAAAACCUUGUAAAUUCGCUUUUCUUCAAUGAGAAUAUAAAGAAAACUAGCAAUUUUGCUCCCCAGUCCCACUUGGUGUUUGAGCACCACCACAUUCACUGGUUUUACACAACAGAAUGAAUUCGCCAAUUCGAUGCGAUACAACAUCUCUCAGCAAUCACAUCGGUAAUCACGUCCCAAAAAUUACCCAUGUAAUCAAUUUCUUCCCCUUUCAAAAGGCUAGUUUUCCACACGUGUAUUCUUAGCAUUCUUUAUUUUUCGCGUAGCAAAACUAAUACUUCCUUCGUUUUAUACUUUCCUUUUUAGUCUGUUCCAAAAUAAAUGACACAUUUCUAAAUUUGGAAAUAAUUCAGCUUUAAACUCUUCAUUUUACCUUUUUUACCCUUAGUUGAGAAGCUUUUAUAGCCAUAAAAAUGGUAUGGCCCCAUAAACCUUUUACCCCUUAAUCUUUUAAAAUCACAAAUUUUAAAAGUCUUUUUCUUUUUUCUUAAAUUCCGUGCCGAGUCAAACUACCUCAAACAAUAUGAAACGGAGAGAGUAUUUUAUUACUUAGACGGGAUACAUAUACCAAAGUAUUUGAGUUUAACCCAAAUUUAUAGCGUACAAGAAAGACGCACCGUUUUUGGAUGUAGAUAGUUAUAAUAUGUUAAAUAUUACAUGUUGUCUUUUUCAAUUUAAAAAAAUUGUAAUCAUAAUACACUAUAAAGAACGAAUUAGUUACCAUCUUUCAGAGAAACCAACCCCUUCUCUUCAUUUCUAGCUCACGAAUCUUCACUAACGCCACAAAUGGAGAUGGUGGUCUUCAUCAUCCGUGAACCUUCAAAUUGGUAGGAGCUAAAUCUAGUGAUUAUUUUAAUUCCGACUGUCACGAUCCAAAAUUUUACUAGGUCAUGAUAGCACUUACCCCAAUCCGCUAGGUAAGUCCAAUAGUAUAAGUCAAUAUUAUAACAAGAAACAAACUGAGAUAAUGAAUAAAAUAGCCAAAAGAGUUCAAUACUAUUAUUUUAAGGAUUGAUAGUAUAAGUCACGUGCUACUAUGAAUAAGAGAUUAAGAGUACAACUCCAGUUUGAAGAAAUAUAUCACAUGUUUGAAAUUUACAUAAAUAGAAAUAUAAAUUCUAAACUAACAUGAAUAAAUGGUAGCUUGUAUUUGAAGUGUUGUACGACUUCAAUGCCAGACUGUCGAACUUUGCAGUUGCUCAUCUCCGAAUAUUUGCGCGCAAGAUGCAGAAAUGUAAUAUGAGUAUAAUCAAUCCCAUGUACUCAAUACGUUUCUUGAAUAACCUCAGUAAAAUAGUGACAAUGUUUUUAAGUCAAAAGAUAUUCACUAAGAUAACCUGUGCAGUUAAAUUGCAAUAGAGAUAACAAUUGAAAAUAACAAUGUGGAUGACAAGAACAAAUAGAGAAAUAAUAAAAUGAUUAGCUAAAAUGAAUAACGAUUAGGUUCCUCAGUAUCACAACCAACCCUUUUCUUAACAAUCCGAGUGGAGAGGUUAAGACAAUAAGCACUAAAACAACAUAGUUAACUCAUGAAUAUUCAUAAUAAGAGAAAUGUGUUCAAGAUAACAAAUCCAAUUGCACGGCAACACUUUUCCUGCAUUUACUUCAUGCGCACCAAACAUAUGCAUGUAUAUCAAAUCAAAUGACACGACAACACCCUUCGUGCAUUUAUGUCAUCCUCACCAAGCAUAUGUAUAACAAGGCCAACCGGGUAGAAGGAAUACCAAUAACAGUAACAACGAAGUAGAAGGUACACAUACAUCAAUAAAGAAUAAGGUAGAAACACAUGGAGAAUGGUAACAGACAAGGCAGGAGGCAUAGAAGUAACGAUAGCAAACAAGGUAGGAGAACAUAGAUUUCAAUAACUAAGAAGGUGGACGGUUUAGAUAAAACAAUGAAUGAGCAAAAGGAAUAGAUAUUAAUAUAACAAACAAGAAAGAAAGCAUGAAUAUAACAAUAAUAAACAAAUAGAAGGCAAGGAUAGAACAAUAACAAAUAAGGUAGAAGGCAAAGAUGAACUACAACAAGCAAUAUAGAAAGCAUAUGUGCAACAAUAAUGAUGGCGUUCAAAUCCACAAAUAAAAAGUAAAUGGAUAUGGUUGAAUUCAGUAUAAUUUACCUAACCGUCCAAAGGUAACAUUCAUGGUCCAACAAGAAGUUGCAUCACAUUUAAAUUUACGCGCAAUAUAUGUUCAUAUUGCUCAUUUGCAGGUAAACUGUCUUGCAACGGCCAUAUCAGCAGGUGCGAUCUUGCUCCAGUUCCUACAACCUACUAAACCUUAAACAUCUUUCUCAACCUAAAUAUCGCGUUCACGAAAGAUCUCCAUCGACAUAUUCCAAUAAUGGAUCCUGAACUAUAUAUAGUCUGAUUCCUGUAAGACCAGGGAUAUGUAGGCAGCUUAGGAACCAAAGCUUAAUCAGAAUUCUUCAAAUCAUUUCAUUCGGUCAAAAUUGGUCAUCGUAUCUUUACACGAUAACUUUUUCAUCCUUCCCAGGUAAAGAGGGCAGCUGUUGAUACCUUAUUUUUUCAAAUGUGUUUUAUAUAUGAAAUAUUAUUCAAAAAUAGCAUGUACAUGCUUAAAUAAGCAUGUCCAAGAGUUUUGGUAUGUUUUCUAAUUUUUUAAAGAUUUUAAAAUCAAUUUACUGUCCAUUUUAGCAGUACAAAAUCCAAUAAUUAUUCCCAAGAUAAUCAUUUUUGGUGUAUAAUUUAUUUCUAUUCUCAUAUUUACACCAAAAUAUAAUUAAGGUAACUUUUUUAUAUUUUUAAAAAUUUAUUGGGUACCUCUAAAUCUAAAUUGCAUAUAAUUACAAUUAUAGCCUAUUUUACGAUUAAUAUUAUUUUAUAAUUAUAAAACUAUUUCCAGUAUUUUUAGAUUAAUAUUUGUAUUUAUUUGUUGGCUCAGUGUUUUUAAUUUACUAUUAAAAUUAUUAUUACUAUUUUUAUAAACUAAAAAGGGAAAAUUGGAUAUUUAACAUUUAACCCAUUUCUAUUUCAAUCACAGCCUCACUUCCUUUCAAUUUUAACCUCAAUUUGACCCCAAUUCUGCCCCAAAAUUAAAACCAGUCCAAUUCUUAAAUUACCCAACCCCUGACCCGAUUUAAAAACCCACCCAACUCCCCUUUGAUCCUGGCCGUUGAUCAUUUUGAUCAACGGCCGUAAUUCUUCCUUUCCUUUUUAAUUCUCAAACCCCUUUAACCUAACUAAUUCUAUCUAAGAUGUCGCCUUUGAAACUCUUCGUCUCUCAAACACUCUCUAACCACUAUGAAACCUUAAUCAUCUCCUACCUUAUUCUAUCGUGUUUCCAUCGGAAUCCAUGGCGUUUCAGGCCAUGGAUGGCCUGUACUCACCCUCUCUCACUAUUAGAUCUAUGUUGUUCGAUGAUAAGAAGAACUACUUUGAUGGUUCUAUUCAGACCUUCUCAAAUCUGUAGAUCUAUCGCUUCUCCGCCAUUUUCUUGCAUGUUCAAGCAAUAUGUGUCUUUUCGACUCAGGAUCUGACUUUCCGCAAGACCUUUCUCCUUUCUAGUAUUUUCGCUGCAACUCUAAGCUGUCUGAGGUUCUGUACUCGCCUAUUUUCUUAGAUCUGUGAUAUGUCUGGGCUUUGGUUGACAUUUUAUUAAGGGUUUUCCCAAAAUUCCUUUUCAAAAUCAUUUGGGUUUGAUUUUAGGGUUCUGAAAAGGUUUCAUCAAAUAUAUUUUUGAUUUUUCCUAUUCUUUCUUUAUGUGUGUCUUAGGCCCUUAUGUUUUCCUUUUACAAUACAUGAGCUUUCUUUCUUGUUUCUUUUCUAUUAUGCAAGACUCUUCUAUUCUUUUGUUACUCUUAUGCUCGCAUGUUAACUCGUGUUGCUAAUCCUUAUUCUUUGCUAUAUGUGUUUAUGUUUGAGUUCUUUAAUUUUUUUCACUUUACUGAGUUCUGUUUAUGUUCCUGCUAAGCAUAUUUUCUCUACUUAUGCUUAAAACUCGUAUCAUCUAUUUCUUUUGAACUUGUUUCAACUCCGAGUUUUAUCAAACAUGGUCUCAUGACCUUGAUUCAGUGUUCUUUCUAUCGUGUGUGUUUGUCUCUCAUAUGUCUUUGGAGAAGACUUCUAAGCCUCUUCUAAUGACCUGUUUUCUCACCUCUAUGUUUGACUCAAUUUGAAACCCUAAGAUUUGGGAUUUCUUGGGCAAGUGGUAUUAAGGUUCCACUUUGGGACCCUAGGCUUUCAGACUCACUGUGAGUUUGUAGCUGCACUUGAAUCCUUUUUUCUUGUGACUCAAAGUCUUGCAAUGUUAUAUCUUUUUUAAGUAACCUGAUUAUUCCUUUUGUUUGAUAUGUGUGCUUUAUAUAUGAGAAAAAUUCUUCUUUCAAAAAGGUUUUCACCAACUAAGUGAUUGAUUCCAAAAAUCCUUUUAAUAAGGCUGACAAAUUGUCACUGAUUUUUCUUUGAUUGAACCUCUUUUACCUUUCUUGACUUGAUUCUUUCAAUUUGGACUUGUAAUUUUAGUUUCAUGGUUGUUUGAUUGAUUCCCUUGCCAUAUUUGGCACAAACCGUGUACUAUAGAUUGUUUUCCUUAAAUAAAUUCUAUGUAUUUACCCCUUUUCUGCUACUUUAAAAAGUAUUAGUUACAAACUUCUUUCCUUAACUAAUUUUUACACAUUGGAAUCAGAUUCCCUUAACCAAAGGGAGACUGAUUUGAAUGAUAUUUCCUUGCCUUUCUUAUUUGUUUCUCUGUACUAUAAAAGGGACUGCCCUUUUGUACUUUUAAGACACCUUACACCUUAUAACUCCAUAUUUAUACUUCAAGUUCAAUACACGACCUUCACACUUCCAAUCAUUAAACCUUCAAUUCAACACUUGCAGUACUAUUUUGAAUUCAAUACUCUACUUUGCUUGAGAUUUUUUUGGAAUCUGAUUUGCUUUCAACUUGGCUUUUUAUAAGACUACAGUUUUACUUGCUUUUCUCCUGAAACUGCUAUGUUCUAGUUUAACUUUCCUGCCUCACCCCUAUGUGUUUACCUUACUGUUCCAACAUUCUUGCUUGCUUACUGCUCAUGCUCAAUGAGUUAUGCUGAGUAUGUUCUUUUCUAGCAUCUAUUUCUGUUGUGAAUCCCUACCCCUAUUCCCUUCUAUGUGUUUGAGUUAAGGUUCUUGGCCUGGCAGCAUCCAAAUUACUGCCCAGGCCAUAACCUGAUCCAUAGUGGAUCCUAACUCCUAAGUUUGGCUAAUAGGCUGGUCAGGGGUGUGCCAGUAUUCCCAAUUGCUAGGCAUGACCACUCGCCUGCCACGGCUUAUCCUGAUUCCUCCCUUUAUGAACUUACACUUACUCUUACAUUCUACGUUCUCACCCCUCUUAUGAGCCAUGCUUUGGACCCUGAGUUCCCUCCUAACUUGGACAUUGAGGGAUCACUCUUCCACACUGUACUAUAAUCUUAUUCUACAAUGUGUUUGGGUGUAAGCACUGCCCUGAGUCCCUUUGAGACUCUUGGGAACUUUGACACAUCCCAAAUAAGAGAAAGGCUUUUGGAAAAUGGAUCCUGGAAGUUGUUUUAUCAAAUAUUAUUAGACCUUGAGCAUGAAUUAGGCUGUUUGGCUGCAAUUGGAAGUUCUGAUGUAUUUUUUUCAUCUUUCUUGAUUCAUCCGGGUCUGUAAUAAUUUAUAAUAACUAUGGGGUUUCUACUGAAAAAGGGGAGGGUCAUUUAUGUACGCAUAUGGGUAGACAUCAUGCUCAUAGGGAUUACUAUUUACCAAUUCUGCAUAUUAUAUAGUAAUCCUGCCUAUAAGUCGUCUCAUUAUUGCAUUAGAAACCAUGCCUAUAAGCUUCUGCAUAUAGAAAUCAUGUAUAAUUUUCUGCACUUACACAUUUAGAAAUCCUGUCUAUAAGUUGUUUCGUUGUUGCAUUAGAAACCAUGCCUAUAAGCUUCUGCAUAUAGAAAUCAUGAUUAUAGUUUUUGUUUCUUCAUAUUCAUCUAUCAUUAGGAAAACAUAGGUUUAAUAAUAAUAAAUCAACAUCAUUCUAGAUACCAUGCCUAUAGGGUUCCUGCACUUACAUAAUCGUUGUAAAAUCAAUCACGCUUAUAAGUCAUGCCUAUAGGAGCAUCCGUCUGAAUCAGAUUUGUCUAUUGUAUCUAUAAGUCUAAAAUCAGUAGUAAUGUUUGUUUAAUAUCUAAAGAGUUUAAGUGGUUUUUAAAAUCAGUAACCCUUCUUUAAAAUCAGUAUACUUCCACCUAGGCAAGCAGUAGGUAAUUGUUUAGCUGUGUCAGUUUUAAGAAACUACAACAAGACAAGGCCUAAUUCAAACUCCUCGCCUGAGAAAUAUGCGAUAAAGUAGCCCGUCGUAACGCUUUUAAAUUUAGUUCAGACCAUAACCAGUAUUUGAAGUCAUGCUAUAUAUAUUUGUCUUUAAGUGAAGAGGCAUGUUUGAGCCUUAACUGUUGUUUGUUUUUUCCCCUGAUUGCUUAUGUGUUUUGUUUAUCGCCUAGACUUUUAUCCUUUUAAAUUCUGAAACACCAAACUCCCUCCUCCUUAGGAUUAGUACUCCCAAAAGCCUUCAGGACUUAUAGGAUUGGGGCGGGUAAUAGCAUGCAAUAAGUAACGAUAUUAUUCUGCGCUUUAAUGCCUUAGCAGGGUGGGAAGGGUAGAUAUGAACAUGAUGACCGAUGCGUUAAUAUUAUGCGCAACCCCUCUUCUAAGGAGAUUGCCGGGUAUUGCAUUGAUGUGAUCCAUAUUAAUUAUAAACCUAGUACCUCUUUCCCUUUAGUUGUUUAUGUUCAUUUUCAUAAUUGUUUAAACCACUUCCUCAAAAUUUUUGCUUUCUUUAUUUCAAACUUUCAGCAUUAUGUAUAAAUUCCCUUCUAUUUGAGAUCUCUAUUUCCUUAAUUGUUAGUUAAAGUAUCAAAUGUAACAUGGUCGGAACCACACUUGUGGAUCUUGGGGGAUGCCUAACACCUUCCUCUCGAGAUAAUUUCUAGCCCUUGCCCGAACUCUUGUUUUCCAACUCAAACCCUUCUUUAGUGUCCUAAUGCACUUUAAUCAUUAGGUGGCGACUCUUCAAUUCGAAAAACCUAAUUCCCAAGAGGGAACGAGUUGUCCUCCCAAAUGUCAUGAACCCAAUUUUGCCUUAGUAAAAUGGGGGACGCGAUACUGAGGCAAUUGUGGCCAUCUACCGAUCUAACGCUGAAGCCGCUCAAGCUCAAGCAAAUAAAGAUGAUGAUACUGCUCAAACUCGAGCAUACUAGAUCAUCGAGCUUGCCAUGUUCCAGUAUCGAAGAGAAACUCUUGAGGAGAUCCAUGCUCGUGGCUUCAAUCUCACUACCGAAUUUAAAGAUGCAAAAGAGCUUGAAGCUGAAGCCAAAGCAUUGGUCUAUUCUAACGAUGAUGACUCUAGGAGCAUGAGUGGAUCCGAGAUCAGAGAAGACUCCGAGAGUGAAGAUGUUUCCCCUGGAGAAGAUUAAGUACUUUUUGAUCUUCUUUUGGUUUUUUAUUCAUAGACUCUAAUUGGGCCAUGCUGCCCUUGUUAAUAACUUUGACAUAUAUAAAUAUCUCUCUUUAUUUUUUGUUCUGACUCAUGAAUUUGUGCUUCAUUUAUGCCUCAUGAAAAUUUUUCUUCAUAGGCUCGAGGUCUAGGCAGUUCGACCGAAUUUGCACAGUUUCUAUGUAGCGAGAAUCAGAAAUAAGGGAAUCCUAGGGUUUUAUUCGAAUGAGGACAAUCUUUCAAACUCGAGAGAAAAAAAUAACCCUUAGGCCUAAAAACAGUCCCCGGGUAAGAAUUUGUUUGAACUUGAGUUCAAGUAGCCCUUGGUCUUAAUGAUCGACUAAGGACAUGCUCAAACUCAUAAUUAGGGCUUUCUAGAAAUGAGAAGGAUCUCUCAAACUUGAAGUGAAAGUAUCCCUUAGGAAUUUUUAGAGUUUUGUAUUCUGCCGAUUUGGCCUUUGUAAAACGGUCGUGUAUAUAUAUUGCUUUUUCUAUUUUUUUUGGCUUUUAAAUUUUUCCCUUUAUUUAUCAUUUGCUUUUACAACGUUUAUAAUGUCAUAGCAUGAAAUAAUAAAGUCAUGUUCGAGGGUUCGAACAAUUAUGUAGCCGAUACGGUUUUUCAGGCUCAUCACUAUCGAAGCCCUUUGGAAUUUUGCCGAGGGUAGCCCUUUUAACCGGUUUAUGAGAAUAUUGGUUGUAGCCUUUAGCUUAGGAUUUUCUUCUUGGGCUUGUUUUACCAUUGCACUUCAAACUUGUUCGAAGUGUCAGUCCCCGAGUGGGGUGGUCGUGGCCUAUAAACAUUGAGGGUUGCCUUUUUAAGGUCUCAUAAUUUCAAGAUUUUAAUAAUUCAAACUCGUCUAUUUUUUAGACGGCAGUCCCAAGUAGGGGGUUAAUUGUUCAAACUUCGGCUGCGAUCGGCCCUUAAGCUUAUUUAAAUAAUAGAUCGAGUAUGAAAGUGUAAAUUAAAAUUUUUUUCUAACGCAUAAGAUAUUGUAAAGGAAAAAUACUUCUUUUAAUAGAUGAUUAUACAUGCGUACAUAAUUGAUGAUAGGGCUCGAGUAACCUAUAUCGACACGGGUCAUUCGACCGUUUGACCUCUACAAAAUUUACCUAUCGAUACCCUGAUGUCAUGUAUUAAUAUCCUUGCAACAAAGGUUACAUCCAAGGGUAAUUCCCUUGAAUUCGACGUUGAUUGUAAAGAAGCCUCGAAUACUGUUAAAUAAUUCUAAGUUAGCAUAAUCAAUGUUUGCCUUAUUAAAAACCUCACCGGAAAACCCAAUUAGGACACAACCGAUCUAAGGGAAAAAGAGUGUAAUGCAUGCUUUCAGACCUAAAGACUUCAUGUUGAAGGAUCCAUCACCGUUGCUUGUAGGAUCCCUUUCAGAUAAUAUCGAGGACUUUAUAUGGUCUUUCCUAGUUUGGACCGAGUUUUCCUUCGUUCAGGUUUCGAGUACUGAGGGUGUUUUUUCUUAGCACCGAUCCCCUAUUUUAAAGUGUUGAAGAUUGGUUCUUCAGUAGUAGUACCUUUCAAUUUGUUGUUUUUGUGUGGCCAAUCAAACGAGGGAGGCCUUGCGUCUUUGUCCAUCAGUUCUAGGCUUGUGUUCAUAGCCUCGUUAUUUGGUUCCUCUAUUGCAUAUCGAAACCUGAGGCUAGCUUCCCCGACCUCGACCAGGAUGAGAGCUUCGGCACCAUAGACAAAAAAGAAAGGUAUUGCCUCUGUGCCUGAUUUUGAUGUUGUGUGGUACGCCUAAAGCACCUCGGGCAAUAUCUCUCUCCAUUUUCCCGAAGCGUCGGCUAGCCUUUUCUUAAGAUUUUGAGUGAUAGUUUUAUUGGUCGGUUUGACUUGUCCAUUUCCAUUGGGAUGGUAUGGCGUCGAUAAAAGUCCUUUUAAUCUUGUGAAUUACUUUCCAUUGUCGCACAAAAUCUCGGCAGGCAUACCGAAUCGACAUAUAAUGUGGUCCCAAAUGAAGUCUAUGACUUCUUUUUCCCAGACUUUUUCAAAAGCAUGUGCUUCAAGCCACUUAGAAAAAUAAUCAGUCAUAAAUAAAAUAAACUGAGCUUUACUUGGGGCCAAUGGUAGAGGGUCGAGGAUAUCCAUUCCCCAUUUCAUGAAUGACCAUGGGAACAAGACCGAGUGGAGCUUCUCCUCGGGCUGACGAAUCGUCGAUGCAUUUCUGUGACAUUUAUUGGAUUUUCGAACGAACUCCUUUGUAUCAUUUCCAUAUUAGCCCAAUAGUACGCAACUUUAAUAACUUUGUAAACUAGUGAUUUGGCACCAGAGUGGUUCACACAAUAGCCUUCAUGAACUUCCCAUAGAACAUAAUCACUUUCUUCCGGUCCUAAAUAUAUCACCAAUGGUCCAUUGAACAUUUUCCUGAAUAGUAUUUCAUCUUCGACUAAAGUGAACGGUGAUGUCUUUGUGCGUAGAGUCUGACUCUUUCGAAUCUGAUGAGAGCUUUCCAUUCUUUAAGUAUUCAAUGUACUUGUUCCUCCAAUCCUAAGAUAAACUUAUAGAGUUUAUUUCUGCAUAGCCUUCAUCAAUCAUUGAUCUCGAGAGUUGUAUGACAGUCCCUAAGUUAAGCUCAAUAUCUCCGACCAAUGACCUCAAGUUUGCAAGGGCAUCAGCCUCGGUGUUUUGUUCUCGAGGUAUGUGUUGUAAGCUUCACUCUUUAAAUCGGUGUAAAGUUACAUGUAGCUUGUCCAAGUAUCUCUGCAUUCGAUCCUCUCGAACUUCGAAAGUUUUGUUGACUUGGUUUACCACAAAUAGGAAAUCACAUUUAGCCUCGAUAACCUCUGCUCCCAAACUUUUAUACAGCUCGAGACCUGCAAUCAUUGCCUCAUACUCGGCCUCAUUUUUAAUUAACUUCAAAGUUUCAUAGAAUUUCUAAUUAUUUUACCCGUGGGUGGCUUCAAAGUGAUACCCAUCCCGGACACUUUCACAUUCGAAGCACCAUCAAUGAAGAGGGUCCACACCCCCAAUGAUGUGCUCAAUUUUAAUAGCAGUUCUUUUUCUGCCUCGGGCACGAGGGCUAAUGUGAAGUCAGUCACGAAGUAUACAAAGAUUUGAGACUUGAUGGUUGUUCGGGGUUGAUACUCAAUAUUAUAUCCAUUAAGUUCUCCGGACCAUUUGGCCGAUCGCCCUGAAAUUCGGGUUUAUGAAAGGCUUUUUGAAAGGGAUAGGUAGUCACAACACAUAUUGGGUGACACUUGAAAUACGGUUCUUAUUUCCUAGAGGCGCUUAUCAAAGCAAAUUCUAAUUUCUCUAAGUGAGGAUACCUAAUUUCGACCUUGCCUAAGGUUCAACUAAAAACAUGGAAUUGCGUACCUUGUUAUUCUCGAACUAGGACACCACUUACCGUUAUUUUCGAGACCGCCAACUAUAAGUAGAGUUGCUCGUCUACUUUCAUGGUAUGAAGCAUUGGAGGGCUUGACAGGUAUCGUUUUGGUUCUCCUAAGGCUUGUUGGAAUUUCGGGAUCCAUGCAACAAUGCUCUUCUUCUUAAGUUGUGAGAAGAACCGGUGACUUCUAUCUGAGUACCUCGAGAUGAAUCGCCCGAGGCGGCUAUGUGCCCGGUCAGCCAAUGCACGACCUUCAAAUUAUCCACGACUUUGAUAUCCUCGAUAGCUUUCAUUUUAUCGGCGUUGAUCUCGAUCUCCUGCUUGGACACCAUGAAGACGAGAAAUUUUCCCCAGCUGACCCCGAAUGCACACUUUUCAAGGUUGAGUUUCAUGUUGUACUUCCUAAGUAUAUCAAAAGUCUCCUGCAAUCAGUAUAAACUUUCGUAUAUUUUCCUAACUGUUUUUCAAACAUUUGAUUUACUAUGUGUUGAUUAGUUGCACAAACAUUUUAUUAGGCCGAACGACCUCACGUUAUAACAAUAGGUACCGUAUUUAGUGACAAGUGAAGUGUUCUCCUAAUCCUAUGGGUUUAUAUGUAUUUGAUUGUACCCGGAGUAGGCAUCAAGAAAACUUAGAAUCUUGUGGCCAGUUGUUGCAUCGGUCAUUUGAUCUAUGUUCGACAAAGGAAAAUAAUUCUUAGGGCGGCCUUGUUCAAGUCAUAGUCUAUGCACAUUCCAAUUUUAUUUCCCUUUUGACCACCACUACGUCUGCUAACCAUUUAAGAUGUUUUACGUCUCGAAUGGACCCUAUUUUGAGAAGUUUGGUUACCUCAUCCUUGAGAAAUUCAUUUCUAACCUUGUACUGAGGCCUUCUCUUUUGCUUCACUGUUCGGAACUUUGAGUCCAAGCUUAAUUGAUGAGUAGUGAUCUCCAGUGGGAUGCUUGCCAUAUCGACAUGGUACCAAGUAAAACAAUCUAUGUUAUAUAAAAGGAAUUGAAUAAAUUUUUUUCCUAAGCUCGGGAGUUAACCCUGUGCCCAUGUAAUCCUUUCGAUCGGGUAGAUGCUCGAUUAGUAUGACUUGUUCUAGCUCUUUGAUUGUUGCUUUGUUGCAUCAAAAUCAUUGUGGAUUAUGAAGGUUCGAAGUAUCAUAUAAUCAUCAUCCUUGAAAGUUUCCUACUCCUCCGAUCGGGCCGAGGCCAAUGACUGUGGUUGCUAUUUCACUUCCUACUUUCCCUUCGACUCCAAUCCCUUUGCUGAAGAAAGCACCGAUACCAGUAUUACUUCGUCGAUUGCAAACAUUUCUUUGGUGGCGGGUUGUUCACCAUACACCAUUUUGAUUCCUUCUGAUGUCGGGAACUUCAGGACUUGAUUAAGCGUCAAGUCACGGCACUCAUGUUAUGUAUCGAAGGCAUCCCGAGCAGUGCAUUGUACCUCAUGUUGCCCUCAAUCACAUGGAACUUUCCGUCUUGGAAGGUCCCGACCACAUUUACGGGUAACAUAAUUUUCCCUUUGGUGGUUUCGCUCUCCAUAUUGAAUCCAUUUAGUACUCGAGCCACAUGCACGAUUUGAGCUUGGAGGCCGAGUUACGCUACAAACCUUGAUCGAAUAAUGUUUGUCGAGCUACCUAGAUAAAUUAACACACGUUUAACUUGAAUUUCGCUCAUAAGUAUAGAUAUUACCAAUGCGUCAUUUUGAGGUUGUCCGAUCCCUUAUGCAUCCUCAUUGUUGAAAGACAAGGUUUCUUCAUGUAAGUAGUCCCGAGUUUUCUUUUUCCUUGUGAUUGUCACCUUGGUGCAUUUAAAUACCGAUCCUUGAGGAACAUCGACUCCUCCAAUGAUCACGUGAAUAACGUGUUGUGGAUCUUCCUAUUCGUUCUGUUUGUUUGAAUCCCUAUUUGUGAAGUGGUUCUUGGCUCGAUCACUUAUAAAUUCUCGAAGGUGAACCUUAUUGAAUAGUCGGGCUACUUCCUCUCUAAUCUGUCUGCAAUCUUCUGUUUUAUGGCCACAGUGCCAUGAUACUUGCAUAUUUGGUUUGGGGUUCUCUGGGACGAAUCAUUCUGCACAGGUCGAGGCCACCUGGUAUUUUUGAUAUUCCCAAUGGACGAUACUAUGUUGAAAACAACUACGCUGAAGUUAUAUUCUGAAAAUCGAGAUGCUUCUUUGGACCCGCUAUCCCUAUCGAAACCACUUUUGCUCAUGAGCCCUCGCGAGCUCUAUCCCCGAUCAUUCCUUCUAUCAUUCUGAAUGGGGUUGCGCCCAAGCCUGUUAUUUCUUUAGUCUCCACCAUGUGGAUGAUAUCGGUCUCUAUUUGAUCGUUGUUCCCGAUCGACGUCCCUUUUAACUCUGUCCAUGGGUCUGUUAGGAUAAAUUGAACUGAUUGGAGCCCCCAGUGGUCGUCUUCGACCCUAAUAUUUGACUGAUAUCGAUUAUGUACAUCGGACCAAGUCGGUUGGAUAUUCAAUCAAAUUCUACUUUAAUUGUUGCAAAACUAUGGAACUCUGUUCUUGAGAACUUGAGGGAAGGCUUGAACAGCCCAAUCAUCGGAGACCGGUGUAAAAUCUAUCCAUUCCAUCUAAAAUCGAGAUACGAAUUCCCUGAGCAUAUCGUUAUCUUUUUGUCUUACCUUGAAUAAGUCCGACUUUUUAGUUGCAACUUUAAUGGCUCCAGCAUGCGCCUUUACAAAGGAAUCUGCAAGCAUAACAAAUGAAACAAUAGAGUUAGGUGGUAAAUUAUAAUACCAUAUCAUAGCACCAUUUGAUACAGUUUCUCCGAAUUUCUUCAGCAACACGGAUUCAAUCUCAUCAUCUUCCAAGUCAUUUUCCUUAAUGGCGCAUGUAUAAGAGGUGACGUUUUCGUUUGGAUCCGUUGUCCCGUUAUACUUCAGAAUCUCAGGCAUACACAACUUCUUUGGGAUCGGCUUCGGAGCUGCACUUUGAGGGAAAGGUUAUUGGACAAACUUUUUAGAAUCAAGUCCUUUCAAUACUGGUGGUUCUCCCGGCACCUGGUUGACACUGGAGUUAUAAGUUUCCACCUUCUUAUAAUUUUCCUCCAUCUUCCUUUCCCCUGUGUCCGCUUCUUCAGUUCCUCGAGCAUUUUUACGAUGGCGGGAUUAGUCUCCGAUUCUCCUUCAUUCAAUCUCUUUGGAACUGAUUUGGCUCUAUGAACAAUUUCUAGUGAUGGAUCGAGCUCGAUCCUUCUUCGUGCACAAUUCUGAUUUGCAGUUAUGCUAUUGCAGCUUGUUGAGUCUGCAACAUCUCGAAUAUCAUUCGAAGGCUAAUUUUGGCUUCCUGACCGCUCUGUGCAUUCUAACCGCCAUUGAUUUAAUCUGUUCCGAGAUUUUUGCCAUUAUCCUCGACCACUAACGAAUAUCUCCUCUUUCAGUUACUAUACUAUCUUCGAGCUUACUCGAUGCCUAUCUUGUUUUCCUCGAUCAUCAUCGGUCUCGAGCUUAACAGGUAUUUCGAAUUCCGAACUUGGUGUCUUAUCCUCAUACCUCGGUCUGUUAUUUUAUGGGGCCUAUCCUCGAUUUAUCCUCAUGGUCUCGGUCAUUUAGUGAAAUCGGGUUGGGCCGAUUUUAAUAGUAUACAAUCUUCAAACCAAACUUCACCCAAAUAAAGAUUUUUAAAAUAAAUUUGGGAAUCUAUGGCUAAACGCUAGCAUAUAGAAUAUUCCCUUGAAAUUUUAUACGGAAAUAUGAGGACCCGUUUGACCAUAAGUUUUACCAAAAUUUAUUUGGGUUUUUUUUGUCAAAUACAUGUUUGUUCAAAAAUUUUAUCUAUAUUUUGGCAAAUUUCCAAAAUCAAAACUCAAAUCCUAAAACAGCUCGCCCAAAAUAUUAAUAUUACAUUUUUUAAAAAUCGCCUUAAACUUUUAUAUUUUAUAAAAGAGCCCACCAUUUAUUAUUUUGUAACAAUGCUGCUUUGUCUUCUCGGUCAUCUGAUAGUAUAUUAUGUAGUUCAUUAUAAAAAUUUAUUUAUGGUUUGUGAUGAUAUAAUGAAUGUUAUUAAUGAAGGCACUGUUGCACAUUUGUGAUAGUUUUUAGAACUUGUGGUUAUAAGUUAUAUUUGAUAUUUUUUUUAAAAAUAAAAUAAAAUAUUCGGAGAAGGGUCACAUAUGCCCCUAGACUAUACGUUUUAAAUCAAUAAUGCCGUUCAUCCACCUAUUGGGCCAAAUAUGUCCUUCCAUUAAUGUUUUGGCUCACAAAUGUUAUUUGAGGUAACGGAGGGACACAUGUCAUUGUCCUGUUGGUCCAUUCUAAAGACCCAUUAUUCAUACCCGAAAAAUAUUUUUCUAAUGUUAUUUUUCUAAAACUUUUUUUUACUAAAAACUGAAGAAAAAAAAAAGGAUUUUCCCCACUUUUUACAAAAAAAGAGAUUUUUUACUAAAACAAUAUUUUUGUAAAAACAAAAAUAAAUCUAAAUAGUAAUUUUCUAAAGCAAUAUUUCUGUAAAAAUAUAAAAAAAUGUAGAUGUUUUUUUGCUAAAUUUUCCAGAUUUUUCAGUUUUUACAAAAGACCCAUUUUUUUCUAACUUUUUUUUUUCAAGUUAUUUUUUCAAUUUAGCAAAGCUGGAAAUUUUAAAGUUUCCGAUUUUACAAUUCAGGAGUGAUGUGCAUUUUGUUACUUUUAAUGUGGGCUCCCCAUUUUACAAUUCUGGAGUCAUAUAUUAUAUGCAUAAUAAUAUACAUAUAAUAUAUUUUUGUUUUUACAUUUUAUUUUGUUUUUACAAAAAUAUUAUUUUAGUAAAAAUAUCUCUUUUUUUUAUAAAAAGUGGGAAAAAAUCUUUUUUUUCUUCAGUUUUUAGUAAAAAAAAGCUUUAGAAAAAUAUUAUUUGGGUAUGAAUAAUGAGUCUUUUUAAUUAAUUAAGAAAAUUUAGGAUAGACCAAUAUAACAGUAACACGUGUCCGUAUGUUAACUCAAAUGAUAUUUGUGACCCUAAAACAUUAAUGGAAGAACAUAUUUAGCCUAAUAAAUAGAUGGAUAGCAUUAUUGAUCCAAAAAAUAUAGUUUAGGGGUAUAUGUGACCCUUCAAACACAUUUUUAUAAAAAGCCAGACUUUAGAAAUUUAUGGCCAAACGUUAGGUAAGAUUGUUGGGUGAUGAACUGGAACGGCGUUGUCAACUGCAGAUGAAUUCCAAUAACGUCGUCAUUACUUUUGUCGACCAGCAAAGCCAUUAGUUUUUAUGGUAUUUAAUUUGUUGUUUCCUUUUCUUUUCCAUCGAAUAAACUGGCCAUAGGAAUGAAUUCAAGUACCGGUUGGAUGACAUGGAGCCCAAGUUCAGCUUUCCUACCAAUAUCCAUGGGUUCUAGCUGUAAUAAUAGCAGGAUUUCCUGUCAUACACUUUGGAAUAUGGCGAGAAGGAGAAGGGUGUAUAUAACGGUGAAUACCAAGAAGAGAAGCGAACCAGUUUUCAAGCCUUCCGUUGUUGAAAAAGUUUCUUUGGUUGAUGAGGCUGAGGAUGAGCUUCUUCUUGAAGAUGGUAUGCAAUUUACUAGAAAUUAAGCAUUGUGUGUGUUUUUUUUUAAUUGUCUACUUUUGUUUGUGGUAUCUCUUAUCUAUUGACUAUUUAAGGAUUUGGAUUUCACAGCUUCGGCGAUUUUAUUCUAUUCUAACCAGUUGGUCUUCAUCUUGUUAGUAUAGAUUACCGCAUAUCCAUUAAAUUGUCUCUCUCAUGUUGUGACAAAUAAAGGCAGUGGGUGAAGCUUUGCUAUCUUGCCCAUUUUUCAGUUUGUAGUUUGGAUUCCACUGGGGUAGUUUGGUAGGAUGUAUAUAUUAGUGAAAAUAAAACAUGUACUCCAUCCAUUGCAAUUUGGAUGACAUAGUUUGGCUCGGCACGGAGUUUAAAAAAAAAGUCUUUUGAAACUCGUGAUCUUAAAAGCUUAAGGGGUAAAAGCUUUGUGGGGCCAUGACAUUUUUGUGGUUGUAAAAGCUUCUCAUUAAGAGUAAAAUAGAUAAAAUGAAGUGUUUAAAGUUGAGUUAUUUUUAAUUGUAAAAAUAUGUCAUUGUUUUUGGAAUAGACUAAUGAGGAAAGUGUGCCAUUUAAAUUGAAAUAGAGGUAGUAUUAGCUUUGGUAUUAUUAAUUCCUUGUUUGGCAGUGUUUUCAACCUCUCUAUACCUAAUACUUAUAUUAGAUAUACACCAUAUUCAACACUAUUCUUGUACAUAGCAAACCAUGACAUUAACAAUAUCAUACUCCCUCUGCUCCAAUUUAUGUGAACCUGUUUGACUGGGCACAUAUUGUCAAAAGCGCGCUUGAGGCUCAAAACAUGUUGAGCGCUUCGCUUUAUGGGCGUUUUAGUAUUGCAUCAAAGCUCUAAGGCAUACUAUUCCUUGCCAAUGGGUGUAAUUAAGACGACAUUAAACAAUUGAUAUUUUACUUUAAUGUAAUUUUUUUCAAUUUUUUUGUCCAUGUAUUUGUUAUUCAUACUUAUUAUUAUUAGUCUUGGACUACAAAUACAUAUUUUUAUUUUUUCUCCAGUUGCGCCUUUUUUCAUUAAAGACCACGCUUUACUUGUGCUUUGCACUUAAAGCCCCACCAGGCCUUAGAGCUUUUUUGCGCUUUUCGCCUUUGAUAACACUGGCACAAAGUUUAAGAAAAAAUAAAGACUUUUUGAAUUUGUGGUUCUAAACAAGUCAAAAAGGGGACCCAGAGUAUUUGUGUGGCUAUAAAGUUUCUCAUUAAGGGUAAAAUUGGAAGUUUAAGCUAAAUUAUUUUCAAAUUUAAAGGGGUCAUUCUUUUUGGAACGAACCAAAAAGGAAAUCGGUUCACAUAAUUGGAACGAAGAGAGUAAUUUUUAGCAAACAAGACCCCAUUUUGUGGAAUUAUUUUGGGUUGUUGUUGUUGUUUAGUACAUGGAUAAGUAUGUGUAAAGAUAGUACGUCCCUUUCAAAACCUUUAAUACACCAUUCCAAACUGUAGGUAAAAGUUAAUCCUAGCAUAAUUAAUCUCAAUAUUACUAAUCCCAACAAUAAAAGUACACCCUAUUCAGUAUUAUUCUUAUACACCUUACCAAACGAACCCUAAUUGUGUUAGGAGUCCUUUGGUUUGCGGACGAGUUAUACAACUAUUUCUAAUACAAAUACAAUGACUUUUAUUGGUUGAAUAAUAAUAUUGCAAGUCUUAAUGAAUAACGAUACAAAGAUUGUUCGUGAAAUAACUAUACAUAGUUAUCAUUUGGUGAAUAGUAAUGCAAUGAUUAUUAUGUAGGUAUAUGCGAUAACAACGUCAAUAAUUAGCUUUAAGGUUAUUACUGUCAUUUCAGGUGCUAGUACAUACUCCCUCCAUUUCAAUUUUUGUGAACCUAUUUCCUUUUUAGUCUGUGCCAAAAAGAAUGAUCUCUUUCCCUAUUUGGAAAAUAAAUUACCUUUAUGCAAUGAUUUAUUGCAACACAAAAAAUAUGUGCUUCAUUUUACACCACAGUUUAAAGUCUUCUCUCUUCUAUCUCCGUACCCAGCCAAAUGGGUUCACAUCAAUUGAAACGGAGGGAGUAUAUUCUUAUUCCAUAAUUUAUUCUGAGUAAAGUUAUACAUGGAUUCUUGCACAAGUAUAUCAGUAUCGGCAACAUAGAAUUUUAUAUUGUAAACCCAACAUUGCGGAGUAUUAUUUAUGCAUUAUUUUACAAAGUUUGCAUUAGUUUCUUUAAAUUAAAGUUUACAUUAGUAAUAGUAGUAAAUCAGAAUUUUAUGUAAGUAAUAGAUAAAGAUGUUGCCCAUAAGAUCAAAAUCGGAUGGUUGAAAUGGAAAAAUAUUACUGGCGUGUUAUGUGAUAUAAAGUUGCCCUCUAAAGUGGAAAGUGUAGAACACAUAUAAGACCUAGAAAGUUUCCCUCUAAAGUGGAAAGUGUAGAACAUAUAUAAGACCGACAAUGUUAUAUGAUAGUGAAUAGGCUGCUCGAGUCCAACAUAUCCACAAGAUAAGUGUUUCCAUUGAUGCGGAUACUAAGAUGGAUGUGCAGUCAUAGAUAAAAUGAAAAGUGAUCACGUUCGCCAGAAGGUGCAAGUAACACUCAUUGAAGAUAAAAAGAGAAAAGGUCACUUGAGAUGGUUUGGUCAUUUCUUGUGUUGCCCUACAUAGACAUAGGUGUGAAUCUAUCGUGGUAGACCUAAAAUCAUAUGGAAAGAAGUUGUCUCGAAAGACCUAAAAAUCAUUAGAAUCAAUGCAGACUUAGCUAAAGAUAGGGCAUAAUGGAAGAAAAUGAUUCAUAUAAGUCGGAAUAGGCUUUAACUUUAUUAGAGAAAUUAAUAUUAUUACGAUUACUAAUAUAUAUAUAUAUAUAUAUAUAUAUAUAUAUAUAUAUGAAAUUUAUUUUCACUACUAUUAUUUUGUUUUAGCAUGAUGACAAUAUGAGUUGAGCUUAAAGAUAGAAGUUAGGAUUCAGACCCUAACUUUAUUUAGGACUGAGGCGUAGUUGUUUUUCUUCUAUAGCAACCCAAAUGAGUUACUAAUUUGGUAAUAAGUUUUGUAUAAAGGAUAAGGAGUUAUUACUUUUCCAACUACAUACUUUUGUCUUCUCCGUUGCUCUACUUACCGAUAUAAAAAACUAUUAAUCAAGAAUAUAUAUGAAUUGCAGUAGUCCAUUGUGUGUCUGGAAGUCCAGACAACUGAAAUGGUCUUUCAGUUUGGCAAGUUUCUCUCAUGAACUUAUUUCCUUUCUGAAUUUAUUUCAGUAGGUGUUUCUCCAAGGAUGUAGUCUUAUCUGUCUGCUUCUACUACAUGAAAGAUACGCAUAACCUAUCAGCUUAACGUUUGAGAAAUUAAAAAUACACAGAACACUAAGAUCCUUCAUACAAGUCAAGAUUCUGUUAAAUUAUUGCUAUAGAAUCUAUUGCCUAAAAGUAAAUCCUUAUUGGCUAACUAUAAAGUUAUAAAAAUUAUCAAUUAAUUUGCUGACUAAAACAUCUCUAUUCUCUGAUGUAUCCUAAUGGAGUAUGCAGUCGACAAGAUAGUAUAUAUGCAUAUGGUAUUUUCCUUUUCUCUUCUUUGUGGGUAGUACAUGCAAAAAAAUUAUGCAGGUAAAUAAAAAGCAGUAUUAUGUGGUCGAAUAUUUUUUAAGGCUUCAGCUACUGCUGUCAUUAGCAAUUUGUUCUGCUGGCUCCUUUGCGACCAAAGCUCUUCUUAGGAAGAGGUUCCAAUGAGAGCUAAAAUAACAUUGUGAUCUGCUUCCUUCUACUGCAACAACAACAACCCAGUAUAAUCUCACUUAGUGGGGUCUGGGGAGGGUAGUGUGUACGCAGNNNNNNNNNNNNNNNNNNNNNNNNNNNNNNNNNNNNNNNNNNNNNNNNNNNNNNNNNNNNNNNNNNNNNNNNNNNNNNNNNNNNNNNNNNNNNNNNNNNNNNNNNNNNNNCAGGAACUUCCCACCUUGCUCUUGGGGAGACUCGAACUCAGAACCUCUCGGUUGGAAGUGGGGGUUGCUUACCAUCAGAGCAACCCUCUUGUCUUUGCUUCCUUCUACUGCAUAUUUGGUAAUUGUUUAUUUGACCUGAUCUCUAACUGUUAGAAUAUGUAAAUAGUAGUAAAAUAACCC
rnacentral:lncRNA from 1 species